GCGGGCGUAGCUCAGUGGUAGAGCUCCGGCUUCCCAAGCCGGUUACGAGGGUCCGAUUCCCUUCGCCCGCUCCA
rnacentral:tRNA from 1 species